GCAAGCGUUGUCCGGAAUUAUUGGGCGUAAAGGGCUCGCAGGCGGUUUCUUAAGUCUGAUGUGAAAGCCCCCGGCUCAACCGGGGAGGGUCAUUGGAAACUGGGGAACUUGAGUGCAGAAGAGGAGAGUGGAAUUCCACGUGUAGCGGUGAAAUGCGUAGAGAUGUGGAGGAACACCAGUGGCGAAGGCGACUCUCUGGUCUGUAACUGACGCUGAGGAGCGAAAGCGUGGGGAGCGAACAGGAUUAGAUACCCUGGUAGUCCACGCCGUAAACGAUGAGUGCUAAGUGUUAGGGGGUUUCCGCCCCUUAGUGCUGCAGCUAACGCAUUAAGCACUCCGCCUGGGGAGUACGGUCGCAAGACUGAAACUCAAAGGAAUUGACGGGGGCCCGCACAAGCGGUGGAGCAUGUGGUUUAAUUCGAAGCAACGCGAAGAACCUUACCAGGUCUUGACAUCCUCUGACAAUCCUAGAGAUAGGACGUCCCCUUCGGGGGCAGAGUGACAGGUGGUGCAUGGUUGUCGUCAGCUCGUGUCGUGAGAUGUUGGGUUAAGUCCCGCAACGAGCGCAACCCUUGAUCUUAGUUGCCAGCAUUCAGUUGGGCACUCUAAGGUGACUGCCGGUGACAAACCGGAGGAAGGUGGGGAUGACGUCAAAUCAUCAUGCCCCUUAUGACCUGGGCUACACACGUGCUACAAUGGACAGAACAAAGGGCAGCGAAACCGCGAGGUUAAGCCAAUCCCAC
rnacentral:rRNA from 1 species